rnacentral:lncRNA from 1 species
UGGAAAGAUACGUUCAGAGAAGGACAACAUCAAGAGAAAAUAAGUAAUAGCAAGGCAGUCUUGAUGAUGGCACUUAUCAAGAACAAGACACGCAUUCUCUUUUGUGUUGCUCUUUUGUUGACGCGUACCACUUUUCUGUGUGGCCUAGCAGCAGCGGGGAGGGACGUCGGUAAUUUCCAAAUUAGUUUCCUAGAUGAGUUUCUUGAUAUAAAACAAACCCACAUGAUUACGUAUCAUUCUUUCCAUACAUAUUAAUUUGUAUGUUGUGGUGCUUCCUUCAUUGUGUUUAGGUACCAAGGCUGCAUUUGGAAUCCAAUGUUUUACUUACUCAGUGUUCAUGGACUCAUAUCAGUAUGCCAUUGAUUGCUGCAAGAAGGAGUGCAAAAUACUUGGUUAUGACGGCCAGAAAGGCUUCUGCAAGAAGGUGAAUCAUGGCGUGUGUUGUUGUGCCUAAAGCUAAAGACAUGUUAUAUUGUCAUUUUGUAGAAAAUCAUUGCAUGUAUUUGCCUUUCAGGAUACUAAUUUAUAUGGAUUAUACGAGAAUUUCAAUAACAUAUGCUGGUAGUUGCUUCCGAA